GACGAACGCUGGCGGCGUGCUUAACACAUGCCAGUCGAACGGAAAGGCCCUGCUUUUGUGGGGUGCUCGAGUGGCGAACGGGUGAGUAACACGUGAGUAACCUGCCCUUGACUUUGGGAUAACUUCAGGAAGCUGGGGCUAAUACCGGAUAGGAGCUCCUGCUGCAUGGUGGGGGGGGGAAAGGUUCGGCGGUUGGGGAUGGACUCGCGGCUUAUCAGCUUGUUGGGGGGGUAGUGGCUUACCAAGGCUUUGACGGGUAGCCGGCCUGAGAGGGUGACCGGCCACAUUGGGACUGCGAUACGGCCCAGACUCCUACGGGAGGCAGCAGUGGGGAAUAUUGCACAAUGGGCGGAAGCCUGAUGCAGCAACGCCGCGUGCGGGAUGACGGCCUUCGGGUUGUAAACCGCUUUCGCCUGUGACGAAGCGUGAGUGACGGUAAUGGGUAAAGAAGCACCGGCUAACUACGUG
rnacentral:rRNA from 1 species